rnacentral:rRNA from 1 species
GGAAUCUUGGACAAUGGGGGAAACCCUGAUCCAGCCAUGCCGCGUGAGUGAUGAAGGCCCUAGGGUUGUAAAACUCUUUCGCACGCGAUGAUAAUGACGGUAGCGUGAGACCAAGCUCCGGCUACCUUCGUGCCAGCAGCCGCGGGAAUACGAAGGGGGCUAGCGUUGUUCGGAAUUCCUGGGCGUAAAGCGCGCGCAGGCGGUUCAUAAAGUCAGGGGUGAAAGCCCGGAGCUCAACUCCGGAAUGGCCUCUGAAACUGAUGAACUUGAGUACGGGAGAGGUGAGUGGAAUUCCGAGUGUAGAGGUGAAAUUCGUAGAUAUUCGGAAGAACACCAGUGGCGAAGGCGGCUCACUGGCCCGUUACUGACGCUCAGGCGCGACAGCGUGGGGAGCAAA